rnacentral:rRNA from 1 species
UACGGAGGGUGCAAGCGUUGUCCGGAAUCACUGGGCGUAAAGGGCGCGUAGGCGGCUCAUGAAGGCUGUGGUGAAAGUCCGGGGCUCAACCUCGGAUCGGCCGUGGCGACUCGUGGGCUGGAGCACUGUAGAGGCGGGUGGAAUUGCGGGUGUAGCGGUGGAAUGCGUAGAGAUCCGGAAGAACACCAGUGGCGAAGGCGGCCCGCUGGGCAGUGGCUGACGCUGAAGCGCGACAGCGUGGGGAGCAAACAGG